CAGGGUGUCUCAAAAAAACCCAAAAUCAUUGAAAUUGACGUAUUGUUCGCGAUAUUCAAUGCCCUAGCACUAAGUUAAUCCCACGAGUGCAUAAAAGAUUGACAUAACUGCUAUAAUGAAUGGUAAUACUCAGCGUAAACUUGUUAUGUCAGGCAUAAAGUACUAUAUAAACCCACGAAUUUACAAAGCAUUUUUAAAUUCCCAUGAGCAAACAAACGUUCACUUUACAAAGAUAUUUUAAUUUUUUAAAACAAAUUAAUCACCCUGUCAAAAUCCUUUGUGUUACGGCAUUGAAAUUCGAACAAUACGUUAUUUCAAUGAUUUUGGUUUUUUUUGAGACACCCUGUAUAUGCAC